rnacentral:rRNA from 1 species
GAUGAACGCUGGCGGCGUGCCUAAUACAUGCAAGUCGAGCGAAUGGAUUAAGAGCUUGCUCUUAUGAAGUUAGCGGCGGACGGGUGAGUAACACGUGGGUAACCUGCCCAUAAGACUGGGAUAACUCCGGGAAACCGGGGCUAAUACCGGAUAACAUUUUGAACCGCAUGGUCCGAAAUUGAAAGGCGGCUUCGGCUGUCACUUAUGGACGGACCCGCGUCGCAUUAGCUAGUUGGUGUGGUAACGGCUCACCAAGGCAACGAUGCGUAGCCGGCCUGAGAGGGUGAUCGGCCACACUGGGACUGAGACACGGCCCAGACUCCUACGGGAGGCAGCAGUAGGGAAUCUUCCGCAAUGGACGAAAGUCUGACGGAGCAACGCCGCGUGAGCGAUGAAGGCUUUCGGGUCGUAAAACUCUGUUGUUAGGGAAGAACAAGUGCUAGUUGAAUAAGCUGGCACCUUGACGGUACCUAACCAGAAAGCCACGGCUAACUACGUGCCAGCAGCCGCGGUAA